rnacentral:lncRNA from 1 species
AUCUUUACUCCAACUCUCCCUCGCUUUAUUUUGCCAAUUUUAUGAAUUUCGCCGAAGUUGUCAAUGGCGUUUGUAGUUCCUCUCUGCAACCUUGGUCCAGAUUUAACCGUCUCGAAACUUUGCUUAGGUUAAACUUUUUGCUUGAUCCAUGUCUUUAGUUUGUACAAAGCUGGAGAAUUUCGUUCCUCUCUGCGACCUUGCUCCAGAUUUAACCGUCUCGACAGUCUGCUUAGGUUAAACUUUUUGCUUCAUCCAUGUCUUUAGUUUGUACGAAGCUGGAGAAUAGUUAGGACUGUCAAAAUUGACCCUUGACACCC